UGGGGAAUAUUGCACAAUGGGCGAAAGCCUGAUGCAGCCAUGCCGCGUGUGUGAAGAAGGCCUUCGGGUUGUAAAGCACUUUCAGUAGGGAGGAAAGGGUGUUACUUAAUACGUAAUAUCUGUGACGUUACCUACAGAAGAAGGACCGGCUAACUCCGGCCAGCAGCCGCGGUAAUACGGAGGGUCCGAGCGUUAAUCGGAAUUACUGGGCGUAAAGCGUGCGCAGGCGGUUUGUUAAGCCAGAUGUGAAAUCCCCGGGCUCAACCUGGGAAUUGCAUUUGGAACUGGCGAACUAGAGUCUUGUAGAGGGGGGUAGAAUUCCAGGUGUAGCGGUGAAAUGCGUAGAGAUCUGGAGGAAUACCGGUGGCGAAGGCGGCCCCCUGGACAAAGACUGACGCUCAUGCACGAAAGCGUGGGGAGCAAACA
rnacentral:rRNA from 1 species